AGGAGAAGUAGAAGGGGCUGCACAUGC
rnacentral:piRNA from 1 species